UACAGAGGUCCCAAGCGUUGUUCGGAUUUACUGGGCGUAAAGCGCACGUAGGCGGAUCUUUAAGUCAGAGGUGAAAUCCCAAGGCUCAACCUUGGAACUGCCUUUGAUACUGGGGAUCUCGAGUUCGGGAGAGGUGAGUGGAACUGCGAGUGUGGAGGUGAAAUUCGUAGAUAUUCGCAAGAACACCAGUGGCGAAGGCGGCUCACUGGCCCGAUACUGACGCUGAGGUGCGAAAGCGUGGGGAGCAAACAGGG
rnacentral:rRNA from 1 species